ensembl:lncRNA
AGGGAUUUGUCAAAGAGGUUCCAGCUGAAAACCCCUUCAGUGGACUUCUAAAUCGGACCGAAUUGGCUUCAACCCCAGGUCCACCACUAUAUAAACUGUAUGAUCUUGGGCAAAUCCAACGUCGUCUCUGAGCCUCAGUUUCUACAUCUGAAAAAUAGGGAAAAACAAUAGACGCCUCCCAGGGUCACUGAAAGAAUUAACAAGAUAACAUAUGCUAAGAGUUUCAAGGGCCACGGGAAGGAGAGGGAUCGGGGCCAUUACAUUUCAUCUUUAAAUUGACUUACCAUGGGUCUCGUCUACACUGGAAGGUGCAUGAGGUCAUCACAAAGCUACUGGGAAAUCGGGGAGCCAGACCCCGGCUGAUACGGAUCUCUGUUAGUCUACAUACCCUCAGCGUCACAAGCCAAGACUGCAAACUAGUGGCCCUCGAGGGCUGAACUGGGUGUCAUUCUUGCUCAACUGAUCUUUGCCACCGUUAGUCAUCGGGAGAGCUCGCGUAACUGGAUGUCCACAUGGAAGUUCAGAUCUGGCCACACACGGCUGCCCCUCACAACAUCUCUCAGCCAUCAGGGAGGAGCUGUGACAUCUGCUGCCUUUUUAGAAGCUUGACCCCAAGUUCUCCACGAACUACCCUCCCAUCUAAACCCACCUUUCCUAUUGACAUUACCUGCCUGGCUCCGCUAGCCAUUGAGUUUAUGAUCUCUCAAGUCUUCCAGACUUCACCUGCCUUUAACCACGGGCCUGCUUGCGAGAGAAACCAGAACUAGGAUCCCACUUUCGGGUUUGGGGGAAGAGCUCGGAUGGCAGUCGAUGUUGGAGGAAAUGGACCACAGUGAUGGCCCAGGAGCUCUGCGGCUGCGGUGGGUGUGGGUGUGGAGGCAGCAGGCAGGCUACGUAUAGAUCGGCCCAAGCUGGAGAGACUGUGCUCCAGCGAAGCUAGUUAGAUUUGGGAACAGCGGCCUUGGUAAUUAGCCAGUGGUAAGAGCUGAGAGGCAACGUGAGAGCUUCUCACUGAAAAGUCUCUCUCUGCGAUAUGAGUUCAGUUGGAACCAAAGAAUUAGAAGGCUCUGCACGAGGCCACCUUUGCCUUCCUCUCUGGGGUUUCUGAUGGAGCUCUGGGACCCAGUAAGAGCGAGAUCAAGGCCCUUGACCUUCUAAUGAGAUGAUGCUGUAAAUUUCCCUCCAAUUUGCUUAUCAAGUUUACCAGCUCACACUUAACCAAAUGCAAGGUUAGGCCUGGAGAGAGCUCCCUUCAUGAUCAAUGAGCUGAGAAAGCUCUCUGGAAGAUUCCCAACACACACACACACACACACACACACACACACACACACGAAGAUCCCAAAACCCAGCAUAAGAAAGAGCGUAUAGAGAGCAGGGAGAGUUAAGGCAAAGAAUCCCAAUUCAGAGGCUUCCCAGGUGGCAGCAGUGGUAAAGAACCUGCCUGCCUGCCAAUGCAGGAGAUGCAAGACAUGUGGGUUCGAUCCCUGGGUCGGGAAGAUCCUCUGGAGGAGGGCAUGGCAACCCACUCCAGUGUUCUUACCUGAAGAAUCCCAUAGACAGAGGAGCCUGGCAGGCUACAGUCCAUAGGGUCACACAGGGUCAGACACAACUGAAGCGAACUUAGCCUGCACACAAGCACCCCAGCUCAGUCUGGAGGUUACACCACCUAACAGGUCUCACUGUGCUGGUUCCGAGUUGGCACCCAUGAUAUUCUCACUUGGACAGUUUGGGAAAGUUCAGUUUUGCAAGCACCUGAGGGACAAUUUUCAGACUUGGGGUCUGCAAUAUGAUCGGGUGAUCCAUUAACAUCUGGGAGUUGGACAGACUUCAAAUCCAGCCCAUCUUGAAGCUUGGUGCCUUUAGCAAUGAGAGUAACCUCUCUGCGC